GACGAACGCUGGCGGCGCGCUUAACACAUGCAAGUCGAGCGGAAAGGCCCUUCGGGGUACUCGAGCGGCGAACGGGCGAGUCACACGUGAGCAACCUGCCCUAGGCUGUGGGAUAACCCAGGGAAACCGGGGCUACUACCGAAUCGGACCUCCGGCCGCAUGGCCGGGGAUGGAACGGCUUUCGGCCUAGGAUGGGCCUGGGGCCUAUGAGCAUGAUGGGGGGGUGAUGGUCUACCGAGGCGACGACGGGUAGCCGGCCUGAGAUGGGGACCGGCCACACGGGGACUGAGGCACGGCCCAGACUCCUACGGAAGGCAGCAGGGGGGAAUAUUGCACAAUGGGCGGAAGCCUGAUGCAGCGACGCCGCGUGAGGGAUGACGGCCUUCGGGUUGUAAACCUCUUUCAGCAGGGACGAAGCGUAAGUGACGGUACCUGCAGAAGAAGCGCCGGCCAACUACGUGCCAGCAGCCGCGGUAAAAC
rnacentral:rRNA from 1 species